rnacentral:rRNA from 1 species
GUAGGGUGCGAGCGUUAAUCGGAAUUACUGGGCGUAAAGCGUGCGCAGGCGGUUUGUUAAGACAGAUGUGAAAUCCCCGGGCUUAACCUGGGAACUGCAUUGGUGACUGGCGGGCUAGAGUAUGGCAGAGGGGGGUAGAAUUCCACGUGUAGCAGUGAAAUGCGUAGAGAUGUGGAGGAAUACCGAUGGCGAAGGCAGCCCCCUGGGCCAAUACUGACGCUCAUGCACGAAAGCGUGGGGAGCAAACAGGAUUAGAUACCCUGGUAGUCCACGCCCUAAACGAUGUCAACUAGUUGUUGGGGAUUCAUUUCCUUGGUAACGUAGCUAACGCGUGAAGUUGACCGCCUGGGGAGUACGGUCGCAAGAUUA